CCUACGGGAGGCAGCAGUGGGGAAUAUUGCACAAUGGGGGGAACCCUGAUGCAGCGACGCCGCGUGGGUGAGGAAGUACUUCGGUAUGUAAAGCCCUAUCAGCAGGGAAGAAAAUGACGGUACCUGACUAAGAAUCCCCGGCUAACUACGUGCCAGCAGCCGCGGUAAUACGUAGGGGGCCAGCGUUAUCCGGAUUUACUGGGUGUAAAGGGAGCGUAGACGGCGUGCCAAGUCUGAUGUGAAAGGCCGGGGCUCAACCCCGAGACUGCAUUGGAAACUGGCAUGCUGGAGUGCAGGAGGGGCAAGCGGAAUUCCUAGUGUAGCGGUGAAAUGCGUAGAUAUUAGGAGGAACACCGGUGGCGAAGGCGGCUUGCUGGACGGUAACUGACGCUGAGGCUCGAAAGCGUGGGGAGCAAACAGGAUUAGAUACCCGAGUAGUC
rnacentral:rRNA from 1 species